rnacentral:rRNA from 1 species
CCUACGGGUGGCAGCAGUGAGGAAUAUUGGUCAAUGGGCGGAAGCCUGAACCAGCCAAGUAGCGUGCAGGAUGACUGCCCUAUGGGUUGUAAACUUCUUUUAUAUGGGAAUAAAAUGUUCCACGUGUGGGAUUUUGUAUGUACCAUAUGAAUAAGGAUCGGCUAACUCCGUGCCAGCAGCCGCGGUAAUACGGAGGAUCCGAGCGUUAUCCGGAUUUAUUGGGUUUAACGGGAGCGUAGGUGGAUUGUUAAGUCAGUUGUGAAAGUUUGCGGCUCAACCGUAAAAUUGCAGUUGAAACUGGCAGUCUUGAGUACAGUAGAGGUGGGCGGAAUUCGUGGUGUAGCGGUGAAAUGCUUAGAUAUCACGAAGAACUCCGAUUGCGAAGGCAGCUCACUGGACUGCAACUGACACUGAGGCUCGAAAGUGUGGGUAUCAAACAGGAUUAGAUACCCCAGUAGUC